AGAACAUGUCUCUGGAAAGUUGCAGGUGCGGCCAUCGCAGAAAACACACACAGGAGCUGGGGGAGAGGCACAGAGAAACAGUGUAGGAUCCAGCCAACAGGACCAGGACAGCACUGGCUACACUGGCUUAUCGAUUACAUCCCACAAUAGAAAGGAUGCUCAGGCAUAUGGCCUCAGAAACAUGGGCUAUUGAGACAGAGAAAAAGACAACUCUGGAAGGAGAGAGCCUGGCCUUACAGAAGACAUCUGAACUAUCAAUCAACAGAAAUCUCACGUAUAGUUGAAGCUUCACUUCCUUAAGAGUGUGUGAUUGUGAAAACCCUCCUAAUACUAUCCUGCGCUUCAGGUGGACGGUGGUGAGCUGUGUUUCCAGGCAAAGGGGAGGACAGGACGCCUUGUGGCAGCCCAAGCUGUGAAAAAUAGAAUCAGAAAUCUGAGCGUAGGAAGAAGUGGGUUAGCCCUGGAGAAAGGAAAAGGAGGAUCAUGGUUCUCUGCAAAGAGCUGGAAGCUAAAAAGCAGGCUGUGUUUACUUACCAACCAGGACUCAGUGGGAUCUUUGCCAGCUUCCAAUAUGGCCUUAAAAGUAUAUGAAAUCCAAGAAAUAUUUCUGCAAAGCAAGAGAUCUUCACUGCUUUAUUUUCCACCACCUGAAUCCUUGCAGUGAGUGUAGUGUGUAUCU
rnacentral:lncRNA from 1 species